AUUGAACGCUGGCGGCAUGCCUUACACAUGCAAGUCGAACGGCAGCACGGGAGCAAUCCUGGUGGCGAGUGGCGAACGGGUGAGUAAUAUAUCGGAACGUGCCCAGUCGUGGGGGAUAACGCAGCGAAAGCUGUGCUAAUACCGCAUACGAUCUACGGAUGAAAGCGGGGGAUCGCAAGACCUCGCGCGAUUGGAGCGGCCGAUAUCAGAUUAGCUAGUUGGUGAGGUAAAGGAUCACCAAGGCGACGAUCUGUAGCUGGUCUGAGAGGACGACCAGCCACACGGGAACUGAGACACGGUCCAGACUCCUAAGGGAGGCAGAAGUGGGGAAUUUUGGACAAUGGGCGCAAGCCUGAUCCAGCAAUGCCGCGUGCAGGAUGAAGGCCUUCGGGUUGUAAACUGCUUUUGUACGGAACGAAACGGUGAGCUCUAAUACAGUUUGCUAAUGACGGUACCGUAAGAAUAAGCACCGGCUAACUACGUGCCAGCCGCCGCAGUAA
rnacentral:rRNA from 1 species